GUAGGCUAGAUCAGACGGGCGAUGGUUGUCCCGAUCUAAGCAAGUAGGCUGAGGACUUAGGUAAAUCCGGGUCCUUAAGGCUGAGAUGUGAUGGCGAGGCUCUCUUUUGAGCCGAGUGAUCGAUGCCAUGCUUCCAAGAAAAGCUUCUAAGCUUCAGGUAACAAGAGACCGUACUCUAAACCGACACAGGUGGUCAGG
rnacentral:rRNA from 1 species